rnacentral:tRNA from 1 species
AUCCCAUGUGGUGUAGGGGUUAUCAUCGCUCGUUUUCAUUUGGAAUUCAUUCCUCUUGUACCGUGCAGACCGGGGUUCGAAUCCCCGCAUGGGAGCUUA